GUUGGGUGGCGACGUUUUAACCGUCGAUAACCAGCUGAAGCAGCUCAAGUUCUCGAGUGGAACGAGGUUGACCGUGCGCAGUGGCAGCCGUUGACAACAAAAACAAUGUAUGCACUAAGUUUCGCCGGAUAAGUGCCGGCGUCGAUCGCGAACCGCCAGAGCCGCCAAAUACCUCUCGUACAUCUCCAAGAACACCAAGAACAGGAGGUAUUCGUAAAGGUCUGAACCACGCGAGGAUCGUCUCGAAGCAUGGUAGCCUCAACAGACGCUUGCCGCCACACGCGAGGAGAAAGCAGGAGGCCCGAAGUUUGAAUGUGAAGAGGAGGUGCGAAGAGCUGGCCCUCACUUUUUCAAGGCAGCCGCAGAACACUACGAGCCCCGAAUCACUGCCGCGGCUGACUCACGCGGAUGCUGUGCUGCACCCUGCACUGCACAUGGUUCGAAGCACACUUCAGGGGACCAGUGCAUGCCCCUGAUGCAUCGUCGCGGUCCCGGGGAUCAUGGCAUCGAUGAGCUCGCUUUCGCCUUGUCCAAGGUAGCAGCGGAACACUACGGGCAGGCCCGGAGUCACCGCACCGGCUGGCUCACGGGCGUCGUCCUGUACUCUGCACGGCACUGCGUGUGGCUUAAUCGGCCAAGCAGAGGGUCACUGCAUGACCUUUAUGAGGCGUCGCUAGCCAUUGUUUCAAAUCGUCCUGAUUCAUGGGCCAAGCCUUUCAAGACUGCACUCUUAGGCCCAGUCCUUUUUGGUGGAUCGGAUCUUGCCAUCUUCCCCUCUCGUGGCUUCCUGUUGUACUUAAAUAAAUUGUCAUAUUUUUUUCUUAUGGUGGUGCAUACGUUUUGCCACACUUCACAAAAACAGUGUGGUGAAUCCAUGCCGCAGAUUACUGUGAAACGUGCAGGAAGGGUAAACUCCGAAAAGGUUUAUGGAAAGAAGAUAGACAUCCCCCAUUAAUUUUUUCUGGACACUCUAAGCGUGCUAUCUACGCAGUA
rnacentral:lncRNA from 1 species